rnacentral:rRNA from 1 species
AGCGAACGCUGGCGGCAGGCCUAACACAUGCAAGUCGAACGGAUCCUUCGGGAUUAGUGGCGGACGGGUGAGUAACACGUGGGAACGUGCCCUUUGGUUCGGAACAACUCAGGGAAACUUGAGCUAAUACCGGAUGUGCCCUUCGGGGGAAAGAUUUAUCGCCAUUGGAGCGGCCCGCGUCUGAUUAGCUAGUUGGUGAGGUAAAGGCUCACCAAGGCGACGAUCAGUAGCUGGUCUGAGAGGAUGAUCAGCCACAUUGGGACUGAGAUACGGCCCAAACUCCUACGGGAGGCAGCAGUGGGGAAUCUUGCGCAAUGGGCGAAAGCCUGACGCAGCCAUGCCGCGUGAAUGAUGAAGGUCUUAGGAUUGUAAAAUUCUUUCACCGGGGACGAUAAUGACGGUACCCGGAGAAGAAGCCCCGGCUAACUUCGUGUCAGCAGCCGCCGCCG